rnacentral:rRNA from 1 species
UACGGAGGGUGCAAGCGUUAUCCGGAUUCACUGGGUUUAAAGGGUGCGUAGGCGGAUAGGUAAGUCCGUGGUGAAAUCCUGCAGCUUAACUGCAGAACUGCCAUGGAUACUAUUUAUCUUGAAUGUCGUGGAGGUUAGCAGAAUAUGUCAUGUAGCGGUGAAAUGCUUAGAUAUGACAUAGAAUACCCAUGCGAAGGCAGCUAACUACGCGAUAAUUGACGCUGAUGCACGAAAGCGUGGGGAUCAAACAGG